rnacentral:rRNA from 1 species
UACGGGGGGAGCAAGCGUUGUUCGGAUUUACUGGGCGUAAAGGGCGCGUAGGCGGCCACUGCAAGUCGGUUGUGAAAUCUCCGGGCUUAACCCGGAAAGGUCAAUCGAUACUGCAGGGCUAGAGUGCAGAAGGGGCAACUGGAAUUCUCGGUGUAGCGGUGAAAUGCGUAGAUAUCGAGAGGAACACCUGCGGCGAAGGCGGGUUGCUGGGCUGACACCGACGCUGAGAGACGAAAGCUAGGGGAGCGAAUGGG